CCCUUAGAUGUUCUGGGCCGCACGCGCGCUACACUGACGGGGACAACGAGUUUAUAACCUGCGCCGGAAGGUGUGGGUAAUCUUUUGAGCCCCCGUCGUGCUGGGGAUUGACCUUUGUAAUUUUCGGUCAUGAACGAGGAAUUCCUAGUAAGCGUGAUUCAUCAGAUCGCGUUGAUUACGUCCCUGCCCUUUGUACACACCGCCCGUCGCUACUACCGAUUGAAUGAUUUAGUGAGGACUUCGGACUGGGACCGAUGCGGCUUUCGGGCUGCGUCGGUAUUCUGGAAAGAUGUCCAAACUGUAUCAUUUAGAGGAAGUAAAANUCGUANCA
rnacentral:rRNA from 1 species